rnacentral:lncRNA from 1 species
AUUGGUGAAGCACAAUCCCUUACAAAACUGUUCUUGUGGAUCUGGAAGCUUUUCAUUGAACCAUACCCUUUUGUAACACCCACGAUGCGGCUAUAUCUCCCACGUGUCGGAGCACGACUUAGAGGCAUAACCGCAUGGUGGUUUUGUCACAAGAAGGGUCAUCUUCACACAAUCCCAUGUAAUGAACAAGAAUGGGAUAAAGAGAGUUGGCUUACAAUCGCCACUUCACACAAUACAUAAUUAAGAUCAUACAUCAUUCAAAUACACUCAUAGACCGGCUACGGUCAAGUUCAAAUGAAAAGAAGACAACCCCAAAUGCUAGAUCCCCGAUCGCCCCGACUGGGCUCCUCUACUGAUCAUCUGGAAACGAUACAUAAUAACGACCAAGGGCCUCAUCAAAUUCCCACUUCAGCUCAGUUGCGCCAUCUGCGCCAGUAUCCUCGGCACCUGCAUCUGUUUUGGUAGAAUCUGUGAGUCACGAGGACUCAGCAAUCUCACACCCGCGAGAUCAAGACUAUUUAAGCUCACAAGUAGGUAAGGGGUAAUAUGGUGGAGCUGCAGCAAGCACUAAGCAUAUAUGGUGUCUAACAUACGCAAGUGAGAGCGAGAAGAGAAGCAACGCAUCGGUCGAGAAACUAGAAGUGAUCAAGAAGUGAUCCUGAAACUACUUACGUCAAGCAUAACACAAACCGUGUUCACUUCCCGGACUCCGCCGAGAAGAGACCAUCACGGCUACACACACAGUUGAUGCAUUUUAAAGAGGUCAAGUGUCAAGUUAUCUACAACCGGACAUUAACAAAUUCCCAUCUGCCUCAUAAUCGCGGGCACGGCUUUCGAAAGAUUAUAUACCCUGCAGGGGUGUCCCAACUCAGCCCAUCACAAGCUCUCACGAUCAACGAAGGAAUAGACCUUCUCCCAGGAAGACCCAAUCAGUCUCGGAAUCCCGGUUCGCAAAACAUUUCGACAAUGGUAAAACAAGUCCAGCAAAGCCGCCCGAUGCACCGACAAAUCCCGAUAGGAGCUGCACAUAUCUCGUUCUCAGGGCACACCAGAUGAACACUACGUACAACUAGAACCAGUCCUCAAGUUUCCCCGAGGUGGCGCUGCAAGUGGCUCUAGUUUGGACCAACACUCAGAGGAGCACUGGCCCGGGGGGGCAAUAAAGAUGACCCUUGGGCUCGCGAAAACCCAAGGGAAAGGGCUUAGGUGGCAAAUGGUAAAACCAAGGUUGGGCCUUGCUAGAGGAGUUUUAUUCAAAGCGAACUGUUAAGGGGGUCCCAUAAAUCACCCAACCGUGUAAGGAACGCAAACUCAAGGAACAUAACACCGGUAUCACGGAACUAGGGCGGCAAGAGUGGAACAAGUCACCAGGCAUAAGGCCGAGCCUUCCACCCUUUACCAAGUAUAUAAGGUGCAUUAAUUUAAACAGGAGAUAUUGCGAUAUCCCAAAAUAUUCGUGUUCCGACCAGGAACAAACUUCACCUUCACCUGCAACUAACAACGCUAUAAGAGGGGCUGGGCAAAAGCGGUGACAUAGCCAAUCAAUGGUUGCUAGGACAGGUUGGUUAGAGGGUUGACAUGGCAAUAGGUAGGCAUGGUAAACAAAGGCAGGUAGGGCUAACAUAGCGAAAGAGCGAAUACUAGCAAGCAAAGAUAGAAAUGAUUUCGAAGGUAUGGUCAUCUUGCCUGCAAGGUUCUCAGAGUUGUCGAAGGCUGGAUCCUCGUUAGCGUACUCAACAGGUUCCUCGUUCACGUACUCGUCUCCCGGCU